CCAUGCUAAAGAGGCUGGUGAUUAUUGUGAAAGAGCCUAUGUCAAGACCUGCUUGCUCAUGGUCUUCACAGGGACAAACACAAGAGAACAACAUAGAUGACAUUGAAGUGAAAGGAAAGUAUAUGGGGUUGGCUAUAUGGGACACAGUUGGGCAGGAAGGUCAAGAUCACCUGAGGACUCUUUCCUACCCAGACACCAAUGUUAUAUUGAGGUGUUCCUUCAUCAAUAGCUUUGGAGUUUAGAAAACCUCCCAGGACAAAGAACCUUAGAGAGUAAGCGUUUCUGCCCCAAUGUGUACAGCAUUCUAGUUGGGAACAAGAUGCAUCUUCUGAAGGAUGGGCACAUAAGACAGGAUCUCACCAAGACGAAGCAAGAGUUGGUAAAACUUGAUGGGUGCCUAGAGAUAUAACAAUCCAGGUUGGCACUUUUGUGUGCCUGGAGGAUUCAGCAAAACUGAAAAUGGAGAGAAUUUUUUGAAAUGUCUGCAAGAGUGGCUUUGCAAGCCAGAUGUAAAAAGAAAAAUACAGGUAACUUGUUUUGUGA
rnacentral:lncRNA from 1 species